AACGAACGCUGGCGGCAUGCCUAACACAUGCAAGUCGAACGAGACCUUCGGGUCUAGUGGCGCACGGGUGCGUAACGCGUGGGAACCUGCCCUUAGGUUCGGAAUAACUCCCCGAAAGGGGUGCUAAUACCGGAUAAUGUCUUCGGACCAAAGAUUUAUCGCCUUUGGAUGGGCCCGCGUUGGAUUAGCUAGUUGGUAGGGUAAAAGCCUACCAAGGCGACGAUCCAUAGCUGGUCUGAGAGGAUGAUCAGCCACACUGGGACUGGGACACGGCCCAGACGCCUGCGAGAGGAAGCAGUGGGGGAGAAGAGACAAUGGGGGGAGGACUGAACAAGUAGUGCGGCGGGAAGGAUGAAGGCAGUAGGGGUGGAAAGCGCUUUUACCAGGGAGGAUAAAGACAGUACCGGGAGAAUAAGCGCCGGCUAACUCCGUG
rnacentral:rRNA from 1 species